AGUUUGAUCCUGGCUCAGGACGAACGCUGGCGGCGUGCCUAAUACAUGCAAGUCGAACGAAGCUUUCUUUCACCGAAUGCUUGCAUUCACCGAAAGAAGCUUAGUGGCGAACGGGUGAGUAACACGUAGGCAACCUGCCCAAAAGAGGGGGAUAACACUUGGAAACAGGUGCUAAUACCGCAUAACCAUGAACACCGCAUGAUGUUCAUGUAAAAGACGGCUUUUGCUGUCACUUUUGGAUGGGCCUGCGGCGUAUUAACUUGUUGGUGGGGUAACGGCCUACCAAGGUGAUGAUACGUAGCCGAACUGAGAGGUUGAUCGGCCACAUUGGGACUGAGACACGGCCCAAACUCCUACGGGAGGCAGCAGUAGGGAAUCUUCCACAAUGGACGAAAGUCUGAUGGAGCAACGCCGCGUGAAUGAAGAAGGCCUUCGGGUCGUAAAAUUCUGUUGUCAGAGAAGAACGUGCGUGAGAGUAACUGUUCACGUAUUGACGGUAUCUGACUAGAAAGCCACGGCUAACUACGUGCCAGCAGCCGCGGUAAUACGUAGGUGGCAAGCGUUGUCCGGAUUUAUUGGGCGUAAAGGGAACGCAGGCGGUCUUUUAAGUCUGAUGUGAAAGCCUUCGGCUUAACCGAAGUAGUGCAUUGGAAACUGGAAGACUUGAGUGCAGAAGAGGAGAGUGGAACUCCAUGUGUAGCGGUGAAAUGCGUAGAUAUAUGGAAGAACACCAGUGGCGAAAGCGGCUCUCUGGUCUGUAACUGACGCUGAGGUUCGAAAGCGUGGGUAGCAAACAGGAUUAGAUACCCUGGUAGUCCACGCCGUAAACGAUGAGUGCUAAGUGUUGGAGGGUUUCCGCCCUUCGGUGCUGCAGCUAAC
rnacentral:rRNA from 1 species